rnacentral:lncRNA from 1 species
GUUCCAGAGGAGGGGAAGCCUAACCUCAAAAUCUCCUCCCAGAGCCUCAGAGUAGAGUUGAAUGAUUUACACGAAGAAGCAGAUUAUGUAUUGCUGAAAAGUCCGUGUUUCUCUCAUUUGAAACAGUGAAUAAGGAGGGAGUCAUAGCAAUAACAGGACAAAGAAGAGAAGCUGAUCAUGGAUUAUCUGACCAUUGAAGUUGAGGAAGAAGCCAUGACUCCUGCUGAUGCUUCUCUGCCCCAAAAGCAGAGCACAGAAGAAAUGGAAUCUACUGUUGAGCUCCUUCCUGUGGAGUUCCAGAUGAAGAAACUGAGGCUACAGUAACAUGCUCAGAAUCAUAAAUGGUUGAGCCCUGAUCAGAACCCAGGAACUGGUGACAGUGAAGGAUGAGGAAAUGGAUUUUGCCCAUGUGGAGGUGGACCAGCUGAAUUCUGCCCAGAGGAACAUGGGCCUGGAUCUGAAGGUGGAGAGUUGUGGAAGCCUGGUAUUUUGGGAUUCUGAAUCUAUACCUGAAACUAAAGUGUCCCUUUCAAAGCAGGAAGUUUAUGAAGUAUCAUCUGAAAGGGAGCUGGUAAUAGAAAGACUUAAAAAGGAUGAUUCCUGGGAUCCCAGAUUGAUAGAAGCCUGGGAAUGUGAAGGCACAUUGGAAAGGCAGAAAAGAAAAUCAGAAGAAAGAUUUAAGGCAAGUCAUAAUUAAACACAAGAAAACCCCUAUGGAAGAUUGUAGUGAUAUGGGGGAAAAGUCAAGCCCAAUUAAACAUCAGAAGGUUUACUCGGUAAAAAAGCCUUGGAAGUGCAAUGAGUGUGGGAAGUCCUUCGGUUACUACUCAGCCUU